rnacentral:lncRNA from 1 species
UAUCAACAUGGUCACUGAAAGCCAGUGUGAGGUAGCCUGAUACAUUUUUUUUAAAUUGUUAAUAUCAAUUUAAAUGAGUCAUUAGACCUCUGAGAGUAAUAAUUUCCUCAUAGCCAUAAAGUAACUCUGAUGAUAAUUAAACAGCGUAAACUGUGGAAAACUGGAGAUGCACACACAGGCCAAGGUGGGAAGCCACUACUUAGGUCCAGGUCAUUUCACCUCCAUGUUCUCCCAAUAUAACCCACUCUAAAAUCUGGCCAAUGCCCCAUUCACAUUCAGAAGCAAUCGUUUACACUGUUAGCUUUCACAUGUCCCAUCUC